AAAUUUGAGAGGAGCUGUCCUUAGUACGAGAGGACCGGGAUGGACGCACCGCUGGUGUACCAGUUGUUCUGCCAAGGGCAUAGCUGGGUAGCUAUGUGCGGAAGGGAUAAGUGCUGAAAGCAUCUAAGCAUGAAGCCCCCCUCAAGAUGAGAUUUCCCAUAGCGUAAGCUAGUAAGAUCCCUGAAAGAUGAUCAGGUUGAUAGGUUCGAGGUGGAAGCAUGGUGACAUGUGGAGCUGACGAAUACUAAUAGAUCGAGGACUUAACCAU
rnacentral:rRNA from 1 species